CCCAGCAACACAAAGAGGCGACACUCAUUCAUCCUUACACACAGGAAAGAUCACCUCUGUCCUCGCUGCAGAUGAUUGUUGUGGGCACCAGGGAUGCUUUCACUCUGCCUGGCUUCGGAGUGUGAGAGCCAGGGUGGGAAACAGUGAGUCUUUGUGUGUAAGUGGACUCCUGGCGCUUUCGACACACAGGCCAAAGGCAGAGGAAUAACUGAAUCCUGAAGUUGUGCUUUACAGAGAGCACAGGGGACACUAGCCUGGUGCCCGUCUCAGUAGCUUGGCCAGCGAGGCAACUCAUGUGAAGGGAUUCAUUGACUCUGAGGUGUCACGUGUCUGACGUCUGUCACUGAGCACCAUGGUUUUGAGAUUCAUCGACAGGGGCAGGGAGUAUGUGUGCCAUAAAACAAAUACAGAAGUCAGAGGACAACUUGCCAGAAUCGGUUCCCUCCCCUCACCACGUGGCUUCAAACUCAGGUCUUAAGGCAAACACCAGCUAUGGCCUCUCGCCAGCCAGUUUUCAGAUCUCUAACUUCACCAAUUGACUCAACUACUACCUGAACCUUCUAGAGACUCAGCACCACCCAAAGAAGGGGAAGCAGUCAAGGGAGAAAGUCAUAAUUGGUCAAAAAUGCUGAGAAUAAGAGACUGAGUGCUCAGUUCUAAACAGGACAUCUCUUCUCAAGUGCUGUCCGUCAACACGACCAAGGUUUGGGGCAUAUAACAGAAGCAGAGGCAGAGAGUGUACACGCCUGAGAACAGAGAAGAACAUUGUGAAAUGCUGUCUUCUGCGCAUGGCACAGCUAUCACACUCGUAAACUCACAACAGCUGUGGUUACCUGCACAUGGCCUGCAGAGAUCAAACUAGAUAAAAUUCUGUCACAGAUGUGGCACGUGAUCUCCAGGCCCUAUCCCUUGUGGGUAGUGGAUAAUGUCGUGAGUGAAUGGGUUGUUGGCCCAGGCUUGGCAAUGUCAAGGAUGCUCAUGUUUCAAGCUCACAGGACUGGAAAGGCCUUCCCCUAGUCCAAGUACUGAGGCUGACAGUUUGUGCAGAAAGAAUCAACCACCGUUUCCUCCUAGAUGACUGCAUCCUGAUACUGCUCUGCUAACAGAGACCCUCUGCACGGAGGCUAGCUACCCCACACCCUCCAUCAGCUGUGUAUAAUAAACCCGCCUCCAUCCGCCUCCUCA